rnacentral:rRNA from 1 species
ACGGGAUGUAGGCGGCGGAAUCUCAGCGGGCGGCGGGCGGGGUUAAGGCGGGCGGGCGGGCGGCUGGCGGAGUCGGGGCGGGCGGGAGCGGCAAGGGCAAGAGAGGGCAAGAAGGAGCAGCCGCGCAGCGCAAGGACGGCAGAUAUGGGGCAUGCGCCAGGAACAAGUAAGCAAAGAACCACACCCCAAACUAAAAUAGGUCGCUGGCCAAUUAUUCAGGGUGACUUGGAGUGCUGAAGACAAAGUCGGCGACGCGCGGGCCGUGCGGCAGAUCUAGGCGGGGACCACGGUCCCCAGCAGCCUCCCCAAGGCGACCCCAGCCCUGGACCCCUCUACUGGUCAUAGAGGUGGUUGGUCAAGCCGAGGCCGCCGUCGUUACCUCCCAGACGGAGGUCCGGCGUGCCGUCCCUAUACCACUAAACCUGACUCCUCUACUUGCUCAUAGAGUAGCUACGCGAGUACGUGGUCGUCCUGUAACCCUUGUCCUCACGGCUCCCGUCCAAGAACUGACCGCGGAUACUUUCGCAGUAGUGGCCCCAGCCGCUCUCCAAGCCCCACCACUAGCUGUCCAGGUUGUAGUUCUUGGCAGAGUUCGUACAGUUCCUGUACAAGGUACUCACGCUCUUGGAAAAGCUAUUCGUCUCGCCCUAAUUUACCUUGGGUCGCUGGGCCUCCAAGGUGCGGCUGGGAGUUCAGACCUCCCUUAAGUAACUCUCUUUUGGUCUUCGGUUCUUUACCUACUGCUUCUGAUAACUGGUAAUGCUAUCCAAUAACCUCAAUAAACCAUUCCUAUCCCGUGGAGGCCGAAGACUCUUGAGCUUUCCAGGAAGCUUUUUUUUCCGCGCUUAUCUUGGUGGUUUCCUAUCUGGAGUUGCAGUCGUCUGCAGUAGUUUACCGAAACUCAAUCGUUAGCAGGUUCCAAGUUUAGUUCAUUACCUAUUUUUACUCGACAGACCACGACACCAUCGUCUUUUAUUGUAUUAACCCCUUGAGCUAAAUAGUCUUAACACGUUUUCGCUCUUACCGGAACAACGGUAUGGACAAGUACCAUUACGUAUACCGUUCCCAAACGGGAUACGAGGACUUUUAACCGGCAGAGGACCUCUAGUCACCGUUACCUUUCACCCCUCGUCUUAACGACGUCCACCCGUGACCCACCUGUCUAUAGAACGAGGUGGGAGCGCAAAAGCACUACGAUGACCAUUUUUCUGCUGUAAGUGUUCAUCUGAUUUUCAACCUCUCAAAUAGUUCUCGUUAAAAGGUCUACAACUAGGAUCGUGUAAAAAGAGAUACAAGUAUACCUUCUAGGGACGACGUCUUCCGCCCUAAGUUUCUCCUCGAGAAGUUCACCUUGCGCAACUUGGACUUCUACCGGACCGCCUAGGACUACCUGGUACGUUCCGAGCCUUAUUCCGCACGUUAGAACCCUUUCUUCCCAAAUAACUUAGUAGUGGUCGUCCCUUAACACUGUAGACGACGCAUGUAGGACUAAAGACAGCAUGUACGACAACGUAAGAGACACCGUUCCGACAAUUGUUAAGGAAACUUCCAAUAUCAAUGUAGUUCACACUCCGUCAACACCGUCUCUUGAUGUAGACACCCGUAGAACGGGUGGAACUGACACGAGACUCCUAAAAGUACCGACCUUGACAACCUCCUUCGUAACCCAACCUACACGUUAUAAUGACGUCCGCCACACUGUUGUUUUGAUUGGACUACUACGUACACCUCUUUGACGACCUUUGUACAGCGAGAGAACCUAGCUUCUCACUCUAACUCGGUUAGGAAUUAUACCCGAACACGUAGAACGCACCAAGUUCUGUUAACGUUCGCUUUUCAAACCUCCUGAUAUACCGUAGUCACUACCUUUUCCACUUAUUACCCCAACUAGAACGACUUCAUACCUUAUACCUCCUACCACUACCGUACGGUUAUGACUUACGUCUUCUUUCAAGGGGUGGAUAACGACCACAGUGUCACGAUCCCCGACUCGGUGUCAUGGGUAUAGACUGACUAGGUUACCAACUAUUACUCGACGUAUUCCGACGGCUUUCACAAGGUUAAAAGUAAUGACCACUAGUGUGACUCUACAGAGAGUUUAAACUCCUACUCUAUCUAUUAAGGGAAGAUCUUGACUUCUCUAGAGUCCUUCGUCUUAUGUCCGACCGUCUCGUCUUCGAAAUAAGAGUCUUUCUAAUAUAGGAGUCAGACAUAGCCGUCGAACUCAGUCUGUCCAGGGUCGAACGUCUAGGAUUGGGGCAUAGGCUAUAGAGUUCGAUGUCGCACGAAGAGAGGUUGUAAUGAUUGGCUCACCUCGUACACUUCGCGCUCCUCCUCUUCAAGGUCUGGUACGAGUUUUAGAGGUUCCCUAAGGCCUUUCGUGGCCGCUUGUAGUUCCUCGUGAAACCCAACGGCGGUGGACGCCUCAUCGAGCUUCAAACUGAUCGAACUUGAAUCUAUGGUAUCAAAUGGGACUUGACAUGUAACCCAUACAACAGAGAACACGACAACAUGACAACAUAUGGACAGAGGCUGUUCCACGACGAGAGAGGUCCCGCGUGACAGUCCGACGACAAGAUCCUUCUCAGGGGGUUGUAGACUUAACGGUCAAGGUCUGAAAUUAGCAUGUAAGACAGGUCACUACUAAGACGACCAUUAAACACAAAUAAGACACUAAAAGGC